rnacentral:rRNA from 1 species
UCCCGCCGGACCUGACUGCUAUCGGAUUGAUACUAAGCCAUGCGAGUCUUUGUAGUAAUACAAGGCAGACGGCUCAGUAACACGUAGUCAACCUACCCUAUGGACAAGAAUAAUCUCGGGAAACUGGGCAUAAUUCUUGAUAGAUCAUAAUGCCUGGAAUGGUUUAUGGUUAAAAUGAUUCGUCGCCAUAGGAUGGGACUGCGGCCUAUCAGCUUGUUGGUGAGGUAAUGGCCCACCAAGGCGAUUACAGGUACGGGCUCUGAGAGGAGAAGCCCGGAGAUGGGUACUGAGACACGGACCCAGGCCCUAUGGGGCGCAGCAGGCGAGAAAACUUUGCAAUGUGCGAAAGCACGACAAGGUUAAUCCGAGUGAUUUCUGCUAAAGAAAUCUUUUGCCAGUCAUAAAACCACUGGUGAAUAAGGGGUGGGCAAGUUCUGGUGUCAGCCGCCGCGGUAAAACCAGCACCUCAAGUGGUCAGGAUGAUUAUUGGGCCUAAAGCAUCCGUAGCCGGCUUUGUAAGUUUUCGGUUAAAUCCAUGUGCUCAACGCAUGGGCUGCCGAAAAUACUGCAUGGCUAGGGAGUGGGAGAGGUAGACGGUACUCAGUAGGAAGGGGUAAAAUCCUUUGAUCUAUUGAUGACCACCUGUGGCGAAGGCGGUCUACCAGAACACGUUCGACGGUGAGGGAUGAAAGCUGGGGGAGCAAACCGGAUUAGAUACCCGGGUAGUCCCAGCUGUAAACGAUGCAGACUCGAUGAUGCAUUGGCAUAAUAGCCAGUGCAGUGUCGCAGGGAAGCCGUUAAGUCUGCCGCCUGGGAAGUACGUACGCAAGUAUGAAACU